rnacentral:rRNA from 1 species
CCUACGGGUGGCAGCAGUGAGGAAUAUUGGUCAAUGGACGAGAGUCUGAACCAGCCAAGUAGCGUGAAGGAUGACUGCCCUAUGGGUUGUAAACUUCUUUUAUAUGGGAAUAAAACGUUCCACGUGUGGGAUUUUGUAUGUACCAUAUGAAUAAGGAUCGGCGAACUCCGUGCCAGCAGCCGCGGUAAUACGGAGGAUCCGCGCGUUAUCCGGAUUUAUUGGGUUUAAAGGGAGCGUAGGUGGAUUGUUAAGUCAGUUGUGAAAGUUUGCGGCUCAACCGUAAAAUUGCAGUUGAAACUGGCAGUCUUGAGUACAGUAGAGGUGGGCGGAAUUCGUGGUGUAGCGGUGAAAUGCUUAGAUAUCACGAAGAACUCCGAUUGCGAAGGCAGUUCACUGGACUGCAACUGACACUGAGGCUCGAAAGUGUGGGUAUCAAACAGGAUUAGAUACCCCGGUAGUC